UCUGGUUGAUCCUGCCGGAGGCCAUUGCUAUCGGUGUCCGAUUUAGCCAUGCGAGUUGCACGUUUAACGUAGCAAACUGUUCAGUAACACGUGGCCAAACUGCCCUAUGGAUCGGUAUAACCUCGGGAAACUGAGGCUAAUCCCGAAUAGUGCAUCCAGCCUGGAACUGGCGGAUGUGCGAAACGCUCCGGCGCCAUAGGAUGUGGCUGCGGCCGAUUAGGUANACGGUGGGGUAACGGCCCACCGUGCCGAUAAUCGGUACGGGUCAUGAGAGUGAGAGCCCGGAGACGGACUCUGANACACGAGUCCGGGCCCUACGGGGCGCAGCAGGCGCGAAACCUUUACACUGCACGACAGUGCGAUAGGGGGACACCGAGUGCGAGGGCAUAGAGCCCUCGCUUUUGUANACCGUAAGGAGGUCUACNAAUAAGGGCUGGGCAAGACCGGUGCCAGCCGCCGCGGUAACACCGGCAGCCCAAGUGAUGGCCGAUAUUAUUGGGCCUAAAGCGUCCGUAGCUGGCCGCGCAAGUUCGUCGGGAAAUCCACUCGCUUAACGAGUGGGCGUCCGGCGAAAACUGUGCGGCUUGGGACCGGAAGAUCCAAGGGGUACGUCUGGGGUAGGAGUGAAAUCCCGUAAUCCUGGACGGACCACCGAUGGCGAAAGCACCUUGGAAGGACGGAUCCGACAGUGAGGGACGAAAGCUAGGGUCUCGAACCGGAUUANAUACCCGGGUAGUCCUAGCCGUAAACGAUGCUCGCUAGGGNGUGGCGCANGCUACAANCCUGCGCUGUGCCGUANGGAANCCGUGAANCGAGCCNCCUGGGAAA
rnacentral:rRNA from 1 species